rnacentral:rRNA from 1 species
UACGUAGGGGGCUAGCGUUGUCCGGAUUUAUUGGGCGUAAAGAGCGUGUAGGCGGCCUGGUAGGUCUGCUGUGAAAACUCGAGGCUCAACCUCGAGAUGUCGGCGGAAACCAUCUGGCUAGAGUCCGGAAGAGGAGAGUGGAAUUCCUGGUGUAGCGGUGAAAUGCGUUGAUAUCGAUAGGAACUCCGGUGGCGAAGGCGGCAUACUGGACCACUUCUGACGCUGAGGCGCGAAAGCCAGGGGAGCGAACGGG